rnacentral:lncRNA from 1 species
AGCCACCCUGUCCUUAAACUCGCCCAAUCUCACUUAAGCUGGAGAUUGAGCUUAAGUUCACGGAACAAAGGGUUAUGUAAAUGUGGGAUGAAGCAAGGGCAAGUGCCACUCCCAACCAAAUCUCCAACCUCUUAUCUGAGAGGCGAGAGGUAAUACCGUGAGGCGAGAGGUCAUGUCAUUUGAGCUAAUGCUUGCUGAUGCAACAUCUGAUCUAAUAUUUUGGAAAUUCAAUUCAUGCAUCAAAAUAAAUGAUGUCAAUUCGCAACUACUAAAAAAAUUUGCAGGUGCAUAAGCUUUGCCCGAAUGACCGGACCAUGCGGUAUGCAUAGAGUCUAAUAAAUGAGUUUUAGUCUAUAGUCCAAAU